rnacentral:rRNA from 1 species
UGAACGGCUGGCGGCGUGCUUAACACAUGCAAGUCGAACGAAGAAGAGUUGAAUGAGAGCUUCGGCAGGAUUUCUUCUCAUCUUAGUGGCGGACGGGUGAGUAACGUGUGGGCAACCUGCCCUAUACUGGGGAAUAAUCACUGGAAACGGUGACUAAUACCGCAUGUCAUCACCGGAGGGCAUCCUCUGGUGAAAAAAGGAGCAAUUCGGUAUAGGAUGGGCCCGCAUCUGAUUAGCUAGUUGGUGAGAUAACAGCCCACCAAGGCGACGAUCAGUAGCCGACCUGAGAGGGUGAUCGGCCACAUUGGGACUGAGACACGGCCCAGACUCCUACGGGAGGCAGCAGUGGGGAAUAUUGCGCAAUGGGGGCAACCCUGAUGCAGCAACGCCGCGUGAAGGAUGAAGGUUUUCGGAUCGUAAACUUCUAUCAACAGGGACGAAUAAAUGACGGUACCUGAAUAAGAAGCCCCGGCUAACUACGUG